GCCUGUCUAAAAAUAAUUUGUAAAUAUCUACUCUGUGUGUCUAGCUUCAGCACGCUCCUCUCUGUCAGCUUUGUGUUCACACUUGUCAUCUGCCUCUGUUGCUGUUUUUCAUGAAAUCAUCAGCUGUGGACUAGACAAAUGAGGGAAUUCACUGAAUGAUGUGCCUCAUUCUUGCUAUACAUGACCUUUUAAAUGUGACUGUGUUUCAAGGGCUCUGUUUUGGAUAGAACUCGUAAGGGACCUGAAGAAUGAUGGACACUUCAAUGGCAGUAACAAACACCAAUGCCUUUUUCAGUUCUGCUUCCAAAAUGUUCUACAGGCGGAUUUGGAUGAUUGUGUUGAGCUCUGCAAUGUGCCCUGGGGGUGUACCAAAUGAACUGUGUCAUCUACCACACAGGUAUGGAUCAAGAAACUGUGGCAUUGCAGUUGAAGAAGAUGAGUUAAGUGCUUUUCCCGAGACAAGGCUGACAAAGCAGUUAUGUAGUGACAAAAACAUCCAGGAAUAUCUAGAAUUUGCAAUGGAACACAAUCAGUUACGGUGGCCAGAGAAUUGGGAGGAAGCAUUACAACUCUACUUCACAUUGAAGGAAAUAGCAGGCCUCUGAGCACGAGUAUGUAAACAAAAGACAGUAGAAACUACAGAGUACAACCUUGGAAGAACUUAAAUAAUAAACUGUGACAUUGCAAUAAUAAUGUACUGAGAAUACGGAGGAUGUACAGUUGACUUAAAUACAUCCAAAACCUGGAGAAUUUUGGAUUCCAAAAUCCAUGCGAGUCUGAAAAAGACUGAAUGUGUCUAAGAUUGGUAACUUGAGUGUGUUUGUGAAUGUAUUGAUUGUGAAUGUGAAUGUUGUUCUAAACCAUACAGGUUUAGAACAACUUGAGGCUGAAUAAAUUGCAUUUUUGUGUGAACUAUUGCUUUAAAGAUGUCUGAACUUCAUCUUAAACAGAACAUGCGUUUGAUAGACUACAAAUAACAAACCUUCACAAUCGAGAAGGUAGUCUGACCAAAUGAAAACGUACUGGAUUCCUUUAGCCUCUGGUUACUACCUACUGGGCUGAAUUCUGCUUUGAAGAUUUUUUUUUUCAAAUCAGUCACUGUCAGCUUCUUCUCAGUGUGGCAGAGGAGACAAAACACUGGGAUGCUGCUCAAGUGCUGUCAGAAAUUCCAGAGUGGCAAGUCCAUCCUUAAAUCUAUUAAAAGGAGUUUAAGUUGUUUUGUUUACAGAAAUUAAAUGUAAUAUUCAUGCAAUGUAAAUUAUUUAGUGAAAUAAAGUAACAUUCUAAAAGGGCAAAUAAUUUUGUCAGAUAAAAAUACCUUAACCAUGUUUAGAGUAUUGUUCUUGUGUCAUAUUUAAAAUAUUUAAAAAUAUAAAAUAUUUUCCUCAUGAUAGUUUAAUUAAGCUUAGUCAUUAAAAACAAAUCCCCCAAAGCAGUCCCCUCCAGACAUCAAUAUGGGUAUUCUGAUCAAAAUUUGAAGAAUUAAACACUCAAUAAUUAUGUAAAAGCAAUUUUUUUACACUUGCUACUGACAAUGUUUGGUAUGAUCAGUCUUGGUUUAGUUUUCUGUGUUUCCGUUAUCCUGCCUUGCUUGUUUCCAUGGUUUUUGAUUGAUUAGCCCCACACCUGUUUCUGUUUCUCCCUGAUUACGUUCCCAGUAUUUAAAGCCUGUGUUCUCCAUUGUUUCUUUGUCUGCUAUUGAUGUUUAUUCAUUUGGAUUUUUUGUUUGGUUGUGCCAAUUUCUCCUGUGGAUUAUUAAAAGGACUCUUUUGAUUAUACUCCACUGUGUGCUUUGUUUUGCACACAACAUGCGUAACAGAAUAGCAGACCAACUAAUGAGUAAGAUUAGCAGCGUCUUUCUUUUUUUGUUUUGUUUCUCCUCUCUCCCAAAAUGGCAAUCCAAGCAGUCCUACUUCUGUGCCUGGAGCAACAGGACCAUUCGCUGGAGGACCAUACCAGGGACUUUUUCGAUUUGGUGUGCCUUACGGACUUCCCUGACUGCUCACUCUGUGCAUUCUAUCACACCAGCCUGAGUGAGCAGUGUAAGGCACGCCUGCCAGCAAACGGUCCCAAAGAGGAUUUCACCGCUUUCGUGGAGUAGGUGCUGGAGAAAAACGCAUCACCAUUCACCAUCUGUUCCGCUGAGGAGGAUAUCUCCAGCCCCACUCCCGAACCAGAGACCAGCCAGCUGGCAUCCUGCUGCACGGAGCAAAUGCCUGAGCCCAGAGAGAGAGACAGAGAGCCUGAGGGCGUUGCGACUAAGCUGAUCAUUGACACGGAGCCUGAGCCUCGAGCACCGCCUGACCAAGUGUGUUUGCCGGCAACAUCGUCCGUUCCCGAGGGAGUUUUGGUGGAGAUCGAGGGCUUGGAGGGAAGCCCCACUCCCACCGCUCAGGGUGAGCUGCAACUGGUCACUGGACCACAUUAUGAGGAACUAAUGGACUGGUUUGGGGAGGCAUUACCCAGUUCUUCUGUGUCUCCGCUGGUUCCACCCAGCUCCUGUCUUUCAGUGUUCCCUCCUAGCCUCCCUCUCCUGCCUCCUCUUAAACCAGCCAGUUCCUCAGCCCCAUCUCCACUGGUGUCUGUCAGCCCCUCAGCUCACCUUCAACAUGCCAUGUCCAGUGGGUUGACUGUGCUUCAGGACUUCCUGUCACCAGCUACUUUGGGGUUGGAGGAUCCCCUGUCUCUGCCUCCAGCCUUCGAGACCCAGACUCCACCUUGGCCCUCCUACCCAUCAGGUCCACCUUGGCUCCUGGCUCCCUCAUCUCCACCGUUGCCCAUCAUCCCACCAGUUCCACCGGGCUCCCUCAUUCCUCCGGCUCUGCCUUGGUCAGUCAUCAACCAUCCGCCACCUCUGGCCCACCUCUGGCUUCACCUUGUCACUCCACCCCUCUGGUUCUGUCAGGCUCCUCCUUCCCUCUGGCUCCGCCUCCAUCCUAAGUUGCUCCAGUGGUUUUCCAGAGCCCCGCCUCCGCCAUGGUUGCCAAGCCUUCAGCUCCACCCUCCAGAUCCUCGUGUCACCCUGGCUCUCAGUCUGCUCAGGCUCCAUCCUGGGCUCCUCAUCCAUCGGCUCAGUCUCUCAGUCAGCCCCCUGGUGUUGUCGGCCCCUUCACCAUGGCUCCUCCCGCCGUCGACUCAACCAUGGGCCGCUAUCCUGGCUGGCCUCUGGAGUUCCAUCUGACUCCUCCUGCUCUGGGCUCCUUCCUGCCUCCUCCCUCCAUCCACUCUGACAUGGCCCUAUGGACUAUGCUCCUGUUCAGUUGCCUGCCCCACGCCUGCCUCCUGAACCCCCACCCUCCCUCCUGUUGGACUAUUUCUUUCGUGUGAGGAUGCACCAUUCCAGGAGGGGGCGAACUGUCAGUUAUGAUCGGUCUUGGUUUAGUUUUCUGUGUUUCUGUUAUCCUCCUUGUUUCCAUGGUUUUUGAUUGAUUAGCCCCACACCUGUUUCUGUUCCUCCCUGAUUACUUUUCCAGUAUUUAAAGCCUGUGCUCUCCAUUGUUCCUUUUUCUGCAACUGAUGUUUAUUCGUCUGGAUUUGUUUGGUUGUGCCCAUUCUCUCUGGUG
ensembl:lncRNA